AGAGUUUGAUCAUGGCUCAGGACGAACGCUGGCGGCGUGCUUAAUACAUGCAAGUCGAACGAGGUCCAACUGGUGGCAACACCGGUGAAGACCGAGUGGCGAACGGGUGAGUACCACGUGAGCAACCUGCCCCGAAGACCGGGAUAACACCGGGAAACCGGUGCUAAUACCGGAUGCCCCCAUCGGACCGCAUGAUCCGGUGAGGAAAGGAUUCUGCUUCGGGAGGGGCUCGCGGCCUAUCAGCUUGAUGGCGGGGUAACGGCCCACCAUGGCUACGACGGGUAGCUGGUCUGAGAGGACGAUCAGCCACACUGGGACUGAGACACGGCCCAGACUCCUACGGGAGGCAGCAGUAGGGAAUCUUGCGCAAUGGGCGAAAGCCUGACGCAGCAACGCCGCGUGAGGGACGAAGGCUUUCUGAGUUGUAAACCUCUUUCAGCAGGGACGAUAGUGACGGUACCUGCAGAAGAAGCACCGGCCAACUACGUGCCAGCAGCCGCGGUGAUACGUAGGGUGCGAGCGUUGUCCGGAUUUAUUGGGCGUAAAGAGCUCGUAGGCGGUUCGAUAAGUCGGGUGUGAAAUCUCCAGGCUCAACCUGGAGUCGCCACUCGAUACUGUCGUGACUCGAGUCCGGUAGGGGACCAUGGAAUUCCUGGUGUAGCGGUGAAAUGCGCAGAUAUCAGGAGGAACACCAGUAGCGAAGGCGGUGGUCUGGGCCGGAACUGACGCUGAGGAGCGAAAGCGUGGGGAGCGAACAGGAUUAGAUACCCCGGUAGUCC
rnacentral:rRNA from 1 species